rnacentral:rRNA from 1 species
UACGAAGGGGGCUAGCGUUGCUCGGAAUUACUGGGCGUAAAGCGCACGUAGGCGGCUUUCUAAGUCGGGGGUGAAAUCCUGGAGCUCAACUCCAGAACUGCCUUCGAUACUGGAGAGCUUGAGUCCGGGAGAGGUGAGUGGAACUGCGAGUGUAGAGGUGAAAUUCGUAGAUAUUCGCAAGAACACCAGUGGCGAAGGCGGCUCACUGGCCCGGUACUGACGCUGAGACACGAAAGCCAGGGGAGCAAACGGG